ACAGCACCCUUACGCUGACGUCGGUAGUCGUCCGGUGUUACAACUCGAACUACAUACAACGUCUGCAAUGGAGGUUGUGCAACAAAUMAGUUGAAAUUGAAUUAUAAUCAACUCUAUCGAUUUGAGGUUACGUCACAGCGGCCAUCUUGGAGGAACUAUAGCCGAAACAACAACGCAGCUCACAUUAGUUUACCACUAUUUUCCAUCACUCAAAAAAAUGGCUGAAGAUGUGUAAUAUUUGUCUAAACGGUCUAAGUUGACAUGGGCCCGCUUUGAUAAUUACCAAAAUAAAAUAUAUACUGUUAA